ACUGUAGAAGAGGCUGUGGAAUAUAUAUUGCACAGAGAGGCUAUAUAAUGCUUAGAAAAAACACAUUUUUUUAAUCCAUGAGCUCCUCUACAGAAAGAAAGGCUCUAGGAUUUUGACUAUUUUAAAUUUCAAAAAGAAAGUAUCUCAUGUUUUUUAUAAUAUAUAUAUUUUUUAAUUUCAUGCUGAAGUGGUAGUAAUAGCCAAUCUGUGGGUUUUGUGUAAGAAUGGGACCAACAAGUCUACAAUUAUAAAGGAACCACGACUAUAGCAUAAGCAACUCUAUUACCUUCAAGUAGGGUUUUUACGGGGUGUACCAUUGUUGAUGAGAUGCAUCUAGGGCAUUGCUAUACAAAAUCAAAUAUUAUAAAAGUACCAUUCUAUGAACAUUGAUGUAGAAUUCACCAGUAGCCAUUAGAGUAUACGACCUUACUUCAAGUAAAACUAAGCAAGGGCUUAGGGCCCCAAUUAUAAGGGGCCCCUUAACCCAAAUCUCGCUGGUUCUUCAAAUCGUGGAUGCCACAAGAAAUCAUCAAAACUAAGCGACUACGGGAUGUUCCAAUCUUCCUUCUCGACUUCUCAUUUUUGAUUUUCCAUUCUCGGCAGAAGCAAGAAGCAACCGUUACCAAUCUGCAAUACUGAUUGAAACAAUGAAACGAUAUGUUAAGUUUGAUAUGUUCUUCUUCUUCUUCGGUUCUUCCUAUGAUAAUAUGAUAAUCCGAUUAGUUGAUUCUCGAUUCUUCUUAUGUUUGAUAAUCUAUUUUUCUUCCUCUAAUAACCCAACGACUGCUCUUCUUCUUCUACUGAUACUCUGUCAAUCUGAUUCUCAAUUACUCUAUUAGGAUUAUGUUUGAUAUCUUAUAUUUGUAGCAGUUUUCAGACCUUCCAUUAUACGAAUAUCUGAAUCUGAUUAUCAGUCAGAUUAUCUAUUAGGGUUAAUGUUUGAUGUGUUAUUUCUAUAACAGGUUUCAAGUCUUUUUGACCCAACAACCAAUCUUAGCAAUCAAUCUUUAGAUUUUGGGACAAGAUUCAGUCAUGAUCAUGACCCAACAGGGGCAAUAUCCUGUGGUAUGCACCUCACACCUUCAUUUGGAAGAUCAAUCUUCCAACCAACCAUGGCAUCUGGAAAUGCAACUUUUCCUAUUGGGGCAUCAAAUGCAUUUCAUGUAACAAGUGGCUUCCUUAUUGAUACAUAUAGGACCCAUGGAUUUCCCGAAAGAAAUAAAAAGGUAUAGUUAGGAGCAUACAAUAUCAUUUUUGUUGUUGUGUUGUUUUCUACUAUGUAUCUCAGAUUGGAAGACUAUUUAGGUUUCAAUGCCAAAUUGGCUUAGAGAGGAAAUAAUUCAGAAGAAAGAAGUAAUUGGAACAUCAGCCAUAGAGAUUUCCAUGCAGGAUACCGAGUCUAAUGAAGUUGAAGUUAUGGAGGGAUCUCUUGGGAAAGGAGAUCAGGUGGAUAGAAAAAAACAUUUCUACAGAAGAAGAGGAUGAUGAUGAGAUUCUAUUAUGGAAAUCCAUGAUAAUUUUGAUUCAUUGAAUUUAGGUUGUGUUUGGUAUGAUCAUGAUGGAAUCAAGGAAGAAAUGGAAUGGUUCAUUCCAUAUGAAUGAAGAAGAAAAACCUGUUUGUGUUUAAUGAACCAUUUCUGAUGGAAUGUGAUUCAUUCCAAGUUGUUAAUUUUGUUGUCUAGUUUGUGUUUAAUGAACCAUUUCUAAUGCAUUCCAUUCCUUCAGCCAACCAAACAUUAUAAUUCAGUGUAAUUUCAGACCAAAUUUUUCUAGUCUAGUUUGAACUUUAAAUUUGUAGUACAUUACUAUUGAAUCAGGUUUGGGACGAUUUUUGUUGGAAGUAGGAACGAAUUUGAGUUUUCUCGAAGUCAAGGCUGUUAAGAACUAAUUGUGAUAACAUUAAGUAUAAUAAAGUCCAAAGGGCCCCAAAUUUUUGGUUCGCUUAGAGCCCCCAAUCUGGUUGAGCCGCCCCUGUCCUCAUUUGGAAAUCCAAAUCCAUAAGUGUUCAAGAAUGCAGAGUCCAUAUUGAAGCAACUUCUUAAUGAAGAUCACAAAGACAUAAUAAAUAAUUCACACCAUUUUGAAACCCUUUACAUGAUUGGGGACAAUCCUUCGGUUGAUGUUAAGGGCGCAAGACAGGCGGGACAUCCAUGGUUUUCUAUUUUGACAAGGACAACUGUUUUUAGAGGAAAAGAGAACCACACGGAUUAUCCUGCUAAUAAGGUUGUUGAUACUGUAGAAGAGGAGGCUGUGGAAUAUAUAUUGCAAAGAGAGGCUAUAUAAUACUUAGCAAAAACACAUUUUUUUUUUAUCCAUGAGUUCCUGUACAGAUAGAAGGCUCUAGGAUUUUGACGAAUUUAAAUUUCAAAAUGAAAGUAUCUCAUGUUUUUUUAUUAAAAAAUCUUUUUCUAAUUGCUUGAAUUCAAUGUCACUCUAUUACCUAUGUUACUUUUCGGGUGUACCAUUGUUGAUGAGAUGCCCGUAGUUAGGGAUGAAAGUGAGUCCAAACCCGGACCUGGCAAACCCGGAACCGAUUAACGGGAUUUUGUAGAACCGAAAACUAGACUGGUAUAUAGGAACCGGUUCCUAUUUGGUUCCAGGUACGGUACCGGGUAAAGUGGGUCUAGAACCAGAAAACCCGAAAACAUCAAAGUGGGUAGGUUGGAAUCGGAUAAAAUGGUUUAGAACCGGAAAACCCG